GAUGAACGCUAGCGAUAGGCUUAACACAUGCAAGUCGAGGGGCAGCAUGAUCUUAGCUUGCUAAGGUCGAUGGCGACCGGCGCACGGGUGCGUAACGCGUAUGCAACUUGCCUUACAGAGGGGGAUAACCCGUUGAAAGACGGACUAAAACCGCAUACACUUGUAUUAUUGCAUGAUAUUACAAGGAAAUAUUUAUAGCUGUAAGAUAGGCAUGCGUCCCAUUAGCUGGUUGGUGAGGUAACGGCUCACCAAGGCGACGAUGGGUAGGGGAACUGAGAGGUUUAUCCCCCACACUGGUACUGAGACACGGACCAGACUCCUACGGGAGGCAGCAGUGAGGAAUAUUGGUCAAUGGGCGAGAGCCUGAACCAGCCAAGUCGCGUGAAGGAAGACAGUCCUAAGGAUUGUAAACUUCUUUUAUACGGGAAUAACGGGCGAUACGAGUAUUGCAUUGAAUGUACCGUAAGAAUAAGCAUCGGCUAACUCCGUGCCAGCAGCCGCGGUAAUACGGAGGAUGCGAGCGUUAUCCGGAUUUAUUGGGUUUAAAGGGUGCGUAGGUUGUUCGGUAAGUCAGCGGUGAAACCUGAGCGCUCAACGUUCAGCCUGCCGUUGAAACUGCCGGGCUUGAGUUCAGUGGCGGCAGGCGGAAUUCGUGGUGUAGCGGUGAAAUGCAUAGAUAUCACGAGGAACUCCGAUUGCGAAGGCAGCUUGCCAUACUGCGACUGACACUGAAGCACGAAGGCGUGGGUAUCAAACAGG
rnacentral:rRNA from 1 species